GAUCUGGAUCAGUCGCUCCAGACCGGCUCUCUGGAUCCUUCUUGGAGGUUGGACCUCAUUGAUCCUCUCUGCUGUUUGUGUCGUUAAAAUGAGAGACGUAAAGAAAACGUGAAGGUUCAAGCAGCCACAUGGGGACGCUAGAGACCUGCUACUGUGACAACCUGUCCAGCUGCUGGUUCCAGAAAACCAACUGGAACUGAAAGCUGAAGGUUUUUCCUGGACGGACUCUGGAAUGAUGGAAGUGGAGACACUUUUCUGGUGUCUAGUGUGACAUUGUCCU